CUUUUAUUCACAACCAAAUCGCCAGGGAACUACGAGCUAAGCUUAAAACCCAAAGGACUUGACGGUACCCCAUAUCCCCCUAGAGGAGCCUGUCCUGUAAUCGAUAACCCACGUUCAACCUCACCACCUCUAGCCGAUCAGCCUGUAUACCUCCGUCGCCAGCUUACCACGUGAGCGCCAAUAAGUGAGCUUAAUGUUACUUCACCAACACGUCAGGUCAAGGUGCAGCAAAUGAGAUGGGAAGAGAUGGGCUACACUUUCUACCCUAGAAAAAACGAAAAACUAUUCAUGAAACUUAGUUAGAAGGCGGAUUUAGUAGUAAAAAGGAAUCAACAUGUCCAUUUUAACCCGGCACUGGGGUGCGUACACACCGCCCGUCACCCUCUUCAAAGCAAAAAUAAAGUUUUUAACAAACUGAAGCACAAC
rnacentral:rRNA from 1 species